rnacentral:lncRNA from 1 species
UCGUAGUGUCCAUAUCUAGUUCUGAAUGCAGUCUUCUCGAUAUCUUGCUCUCUUACUUUCAGCUGAUGAUAUCCUGACCUAAGAUCGAUCUUCGAGAAAUAGCUCGAACCUUGCAAUUGAUCAAACAGGUCAUCAAUCCUCGGCAACGGAUAUCUAUUCUUUAUUGUUGCCUUGUUCAGCUCUCUGUAAUCGAUGCACAUUCUCAUACUUCCAUCUUUCUUCUUUACAAAUAACACCGGAGCUCCCCAGGGCGAUGAACUAGGUCUAAUGAAACCUUUGUCCAAUAACUCCUGAAGUUGCAUCAUCAGCUCCUUCAUCUCCGUCGGUGCUAAUCGAUAAGGUGCUUUUGCUAUUGGCGUGGUUCCUGGUAACAAGUCUAUUCUGAACUCCACUUGUCUAUCAGGUGGUAAUCCAGGAAGAUCCUCGGGAAAUACUUCCGGAUAAUCACACACCACUGGAAUGCUCUGCAUCACCUUCUUUUCUUUCUUAGCAUCAAUCACGAAUGCUAAAUAUGAUGUACAUCCCUUGGUCAAACACUUUCUGGCUUUCAUUAGAGAAAUGAUUCCAGAAUUCACUCUGCGUUUGUCCCCAUACACCAUAAACGAAUCUUUCCCAGGCGGGUUUACUUUAACUAUCUUCUUCUUGCACAAAAUUUCGGCAUCAUUGGCGCUAAGCCAAUCCAUUCCCAAGACGAUGUCGAAACCAUUUAGUUCGAUAGGCAAUAAUUCCUCGAGAAACUUAUUCCCAUUAAGGUCGAUCAAGACGUUUUUCAUACGAUGGCUAACAGGUACAAACUUGCCACUAGCUACUUCGACUAAUAAAGCAUUAUCUAGUCUAUCAACAGGCAAAGCUAGCUUUCUACCAAACUCAUGCGAAAUAAAGGAGUAGUUGGCUCCAGAAUCAAACAAUAUAUGAGCAGGUAAUUCGUUUACGAGAAAGGUACCUGAAGCGACAUCAGCUUCAUCUUUCGCAGCCUCAAGUGUCAUCUGGAAGGCUCUCGCCUUCGGCUUUGGUGGAAUGUUGGGCCUAGCUGCCUCCUUCUUCUUCGGACAGUCUUUCAAAAUAUGCCCCUCUUCAUUACACCCAAAACACAUCCUUUUGUUGUUCGGACAUUCAUUGGCAAAAUGUCCAACCUUUCCACACUUGUAGCAGGUCACAUCCUCGCUACAUUUCCCAAAGUGCUUUUUCUUACACUUAUCACACCACUUUGCUUCGCCUCCUUUUCCUCCAAACUUUUUCGAAUCAGAUUUCGAAAAUUUGCUCUUCUUACUGGAACCAGAUGUUCCUUCAAACUUCCUUUUCUCACCAACCUCAACCUUGACGGUGGUUCUCCCCUUGAUCAUGUUCUCCACAGACUUGGCAGCCCAGAUAGCUGCCUCUAGAGUAAGUGCCUGACGUACCGGCACCUCGUACUCCCAUGGAAGUCCCUUCGCAUACCGAUCCACCUUUGUCAGCUCGUCUGGAACGAUACGCAAGGCAAACUCCAUCUUAUCGGUGAAGUUAUUGGUGUACUCAUCCACUGACAUGCUACCCUUCGUCAAUGUCAAAAACUUGUUCUCCAACUCCAACAGAUUUUGAGCCGAGCAGAACUUGCGCUUGAACUGCACCAAGAACUCUGCCCAUGACAAUUGCAGUGGCUCAUUAGGGCUUAAGGUCUUCCCUAGAGUGUUCCACCAACGAACGGCUCCACCUCGGAAUUGUCGCACGGCAUAGAUAGUCUGCAACUUGCCUCUACAGCCACAUGUCAUAAAGGCUAACUCCAUUUCGGAGAUCCAAUCCAUAACCCCAAUCGGAUCCUCCUUUCCAUUGAAGGUCGAUGGUUUACAAGUCAAAAAGUCCUUGUACUUGCAUCCCAUUCCAUCAUUCCUUCCAUCAUGGUUAUCUUGCCUAACUAUCGGUGGGUUGGCUGGACCAACAGACCCACUGAAGUUUCCACCUUCCGAGUGCCCUUCAUUCAGUUCAGGCUCUUCCACACGAAUCGACAGUUCUUCACGAUUUUGUUGAAGCAACCGUCUAGUUUCAUCCAUCUGACGAUCCAACAUCGUCUGAAUCAUCAAUUGCACACCAGCCAUGGUUAUUGGCUCAGGUGCUGCUGCUACGACAGGUAUUGGCUCAAUCACUGGUGGUUGAUUCCUGUUUUCGUCAGCAUUUCCAACUCCACUUCUUGUUCUCACCAUUUUGAUCUACACCGAAUAAGGUGAAAUUAGAUCCUCAAUCAUGAUAGAUAUUCAAAUCAUCCUUAUCACUCCGAAACGUUUACAUGCUAGUUCUAAUAUCGUAGACGUACGCUUAGAAUCCUACACACAUAAGGUUUCUAGAUCCGGUCGGCAACAGACCAUAGAUCCGAACAAAUAAUAUCAUAUAUGGCAACAUAUAACAUUUAGCACAUAAAGCAUUUUAGGCAACUUUCCUAAAAUAAACUAGUGCUCGUGUCUAAAUCACAACAGACACACAUCUCAAAACUUCACUUAGCAUUCUAAGUUUAAGUCUAGAAAUCCUACAAAUUCCUAGUUCGCUUAAACUAAUGCUCUGAUACCAACUGUGACAUCCCCAAAAUCUCGGCCAGAAAAGACCGAUUUUCAUUUAUGCUUUUAAAUAUUUUCAGAGUAAAUCCUUUUGAUUUGAAAGAGUUGCGGAAUUUGUUCCCAAAAACAAAACAUGAUAAAACAUUGUUUACCGAAGCAUUUCAUAAAAGAAAUGUAUUUUCAUUAUAAUCAAAACUCGGGGUGUCAUGUUCCGAUACAGACCAAUAAGCAUAAACGAAUACAUUACAAGUCAUAUAACAAAUAUAAACAUAUGCAGACUUGUAAACAAAACAACUUGAUGGUUCAUCCAUCUCAUGCCCUUCCGCCACUACCUGUAAUACAAUUUAAAACUGAGUGGGUCAGGCUUGGGAGCCUGGUGAGCAUAUAGGGUUUUCAACCCACAAUAAAUAUCAUAUUUAAUUUUCACCAACCAACAAUAACCCAAUUACCCAUUCCCGUUAUUCUCACUUUAAUGUCCCUAAAACAACUAACAUAAGGGACCUAGUCUAAGAAUAUUUCAUCGGGGCGACAACACAUGCUUCGGGGGUACCUCAGCAAUAUAAGUCAAAUAAGGCAACCAUGAGGGGGAUGGAGUACAGCGAAUGAACACCCAAGUUCAUUAACACCUACAGGUGGCGAACCUGCUAAUGUUUCCACAAGACUGUCUAGAAUAGCCAGUGGUCGUCAUCUAAACUCCGCUAGAUGACUCAAUCAAACAACAACGAGGCCUCUCAUCUGUUUAUUACACACCAACUGUCUACCCAUGUUCUACCCAACAUAUUAGUAGAUAAAAAUAUACAUUUGUAUACAUAGUUUAAAGAAAACCUGUAUAGCAUGCUUUAAUCAACACAUAUAUCACAUAACAGAUGAGGCACACACACACAUAACACAUAUCUCAUAAAGAAAUAAGCAGAUCUAUAAGAUAGAAGAGAGUGAAUACUCAUUCACACAUAACACAACCAAAUAUAUACACAUAGCACGUAUUUUUAUAUAAAAUACUUCGUAUUAUUGUAUUAGAAGAAAUAACUACACACUCACUUGAUCAGAAGAUGAUCGGACAGCACUACGGCUUAUAGAAGUAGUAAUCCACAGCAGAUCUGGAAGAUCUUCUCGAAAAUCGAACUUCUCGCGGGCAGAGCUUCGACUCGGGAACCGCACUUUUCGGGAUCUUCAGGAUCUCGGGACUUGCCUCGGGGCUAGAGUAUGAUACCGGGACUUCGGGGUAGCUUCGGGGGUUUUUGCACAGAGCUUCGACACGAAAACGAGAGGGAAUUGGCAAAAAUACCCGGAACCCUCGCAUCCUAUUUAUAGGAGGCUGGAGCCUCGGAGUACGCGGGGCGUACUGCGUUACGCGGGGCGUACUGCCCAAAACGUCAUUGCUUACGUAUCCGAAGUGCUCGAGUGCGAGUGUCGACAUCCCUCGGAGUACGCGGGGCGUACUCGAGUACGCGGGGCGUACCUCGGAUCAGAUCGGUGACUCCUUCGGAUAAUGCUUCCGAAUUUUGAAUUAAAAAUAAAUACAAAAUGAUUAAUAAACUUCGGAAAUUCAUAACUUCUUCAUACGAACUCCGUUUUCGACGUUCUUUAUAUCCACGCGAAGGUGAGACCACGCUCUACGACUUUCGUUUAGACUCCGUCGGCUAAUUUUGACUUUAUUUUUAUUAAUUAUUUUUAAUAGGCCGGGACAGAAACUUUCGUUAUAAAUUCAUAACUUCUUCGUUUGACGUCCGUUCUCGCCUAACUUUUUAUCGUUUCAAUACCAACAAUGAGAUCUUCGAUUCUCAUUUAGAUUGCUUCGGCUAACAACCGCUCGAUCUCAAAUCGAGUAAAACAGGCUGUAUAUCGCUAAGCCGGAACUUCGAUAAAUCAUAACUUCCUCAUACGAAGUCAGAUUUGGGCGUUCUAUAUAUAUUCGGAAACCUCGUUUCAACUACUACAACAUUAACCAAAGAUAUUAAGUUUAUUUUACACUUAAAUUUUGACGCUUAUUUUUAUUCUUAAUUAAUCAAACCACAUAAUUAAGCAAUUAAGCACAAAACACAUAAUACUCAAAUAAUACAAUCUUAUUAUUUCAAAACGGGUUACAAAGGUUAACCUAGACUAUUACAUUGCUAAAAAUGGCAAGCCCGGAAACACAGGCGUUACAAUUCUCUCCACCUUAGAAUGAUUCCGUCCCCGGAAUCACACAUCAACAAACAAAUGCGGAUAGCGACUCAACAUGUCACUCUCCGUCUCCCAGGUGAGAUUCGGCCCAUUCGUGUGUUUCCAUCGGACAAGCACUAACCCAACCAUUUUGCGUCGCAACUUCUUAGUCUUUCGGUCAACAAUUGCCUCUGGUUCUUCAAUCAACCUUUUGUUCUCAUCAAUUCUCAAUUCAGAAAUUGGAAUUAUAUCGGGAACUUCUCCCGUGAACUUCCUCAAAUAACACACAUGAAAGGUGUUGUGAAUUCCAUUCAGUUCUUCGGGUAAUUCGAGCUUGUAAGCUUGAUUCCCAAUCCUCUGAAGGACUUUAAACGGUCCAAUAAACCUUGGACUCAACUUUCCCCUUUUACCAAAUCUUAUAAGUCCCUUCCACGGCGAGACUUUAAGCAAAACCGAAUCUCCAACCUCAAAAGUCAUCGGUCUUCGCUUCUUGUCAGCAUAGCUCUUUUGACGAUCUUGAGCUGCUAACAUUCUUUCCCUAAUUAUUUUCAACUUUUCAGCAGUUUGAUGAACCAUCUCCGGUCCCAUAAACUGCUUUUCCCCAGCCUCAAGCCAACAAGACGGCGUACGACACUUCUGUCCAUACAAAGCUUGAUAAGGUGCCAUCUUAAUGCUCGAGUGAAAACUAUUAUUAUAGGAAAAUUCUACCAACGGUAAAUGUUCAUCCCAAUUACCUAGGAAUUCCAAGGUACAUGCUCUCAGCAUAUCUUCAAGUGUUUGUAUUGUUCUUUCACUCUGACCAUCAGUCUGCGGAUGGUAAGCUGUGCUUAAACAUAACUUGGUACCCAUUUCCUCUUGUAGACUUUUCCAAAACCUUGAGGUGAAACGGCUAUCACGAUCCGAUACAAUCGUUAACGGAACACCGUGAAGCCUCACAAUUUCCUUCACGUAAGAAUUCGCAAGCUUUUCCAUAGACCAUUUCUCCCUGGCCGCUAUGAAAUGCGCACUCUUAGUGAAUCGAUCAACGACCACCCAAAUCAUGUCGUGACCAUUCUUUGUUCUGGGCAGUUUAGUGACAAAAUCCAUAGCAAUGUCUUCCCACUUACCCAUAGGCACAGGCAAUGGUUCUAAACUCCCGUAAGGUUUCUGAUGUUGUGUCUUGACUCUCGCACAAGUCACACACUCGGCCACAUACUUUGCAACAUCAAGCUUCAUCGUCGGCCACCAGUAGUAGGGUUUCAGGUCCCUAUACAUUUUAGUGCUACCCGGAUGAAUUGAGUACAUGGUUUUGUGAGCUUCUUCCAUCAGAAGAUCCCUAAUUCCUCCUGACUUAGGUACCCAAAUACGAUCUUGGAAUACCUUCAGUCCAUGACCGUUAGUACCAAACACCAACGUUUUACCCAAACGUUCCUCCUUUCGGUCAUUUUUCUCAGAAGCUUCCUCUUGAGCUUUCUUUAUACUUUCCACAAUAGUCGAGACAACUUCAAUUCUCAACGCUCUUGGCCUCUUCCUUUCAAGAUUGACUUUCCGACUGAGAGCAUCAGCAACAACAUUAGCUUUACCGGGGUGGUAAAGUAUCUCGCAGUCGUAGUCUUUAAGUAAUUCUAGCCAGCGUCGUUGCCUCAUAUUCAAUUCUUUCUGAUUAAAGAGGUAUUGGAGACUCUUAUGAUCAGUGAAAAGUUUGCACUUCGUGCCAUAGAGGUAAUGCCUCCAUAUUUUCAGAGCGAAAACUACCGCUGCCAACUCCAAAUCAUGAGUCGGGUAAUUCUUUUCAUGCUCUUUCAGCUGUCGAGACGCAUAUGCUAUCACCUUUUCUCUUUGGGUCAAAACACAACCCAAUCCAACACCAGACGCAUCGCUAUAAACAGCGAAGUCUUCAACUCCAUCGGGUAGAGAAAGUAUCGGUGCCUCGCAUAGCUUCUUCUUUAGCUUCUCGAAUGCUUCUUUAUGCUUAUCACUCCAAGCAUAAGUAGCUCCUUUGUGGGUCAAAGCUGUUAAUGGAGUAGCAAUCGAAGAAAAGCCUUGGAUAAACCUUCGGUAAUAUCCGGCUAAUCCUAAAAAGCUUCGAAUCUCCGUGGGACUUUUCGGUUGUUCCCACUUCGUCACAGCUUCGAUCUUCGCUGGAUCAACCAUUAUCCCUUCUUGGUUGACCACGUGACCCAAGAAUUGGACUUCACGAAUCCAAAAAUCACAUUUGGAGAACUUUGCAUACAGCUUCUCCUUCUUCAAGACUUCUAACACUUCUCGCAAGUGUCUGCCAUGCUCCUCCUGGCUUUUCGAGUAAAUCAGAAUGUCGUCUAUGAACACUAUCACGGAUUUAUCAAGGAAAGGAUUACAAACCCUAUUCAUCAAAUCCAUGAAUGCUGCCGGAGCAUUGGUUAGUCCAAACGACAUAACCAAGAACUCGUAGUGUCCAUAUCUAGUUCUGAAUGCAGUCUUCUCGAUAUCUUGCUCUCUUACUUUUAGCUGAUGAUAUCCUGACCUUAGAUCGAUCUUCGAGAAAUAGCUCGAACCUUGCAAUUGAUCAAAUAGGUCAUCAAUCCUCGGCAACGGAUAUCUAUUCUUUAUUGUUGCCUUGUUCAGCUCUCUGUAAUCAAUGCACAUUCUCAUACUUCCAUCUUUCUUCUUCACAAAUAACACCGGAGCUCCCCAGGGCGAUGAACUAGGUCUAAUGAAACCUUUGUCCAAUAACUCCUGAAGUUGCAUCAUCAGCUCCUUCAUCUCCGUCGGUGCUAAUCGAUAAGGUGCUUUUGCUAUUGGCGUGGUCCCUGGUAACAAGUCUAUUCUGAACUCUACUUGUCUAUCAGGUGGUAAUCCAGGAAGAUCUUCGGGAAAUACUUCCGGAUAAUCACACACCACUGGUAUACUCUGUAUCACCUUCUUUUCCUUCUUAGCAUCGAUCACGAAUGCUAAAUAUGAUGUACAUCCCUUGGUCAAACACUUCCUGGCUUUCAUUAGGGAAAUGAUUCUAGAAUUUACUCGCCGUUUGUCCCCGUACACCAUAAAUGAAUCCUUCCCAGGUGGGUUUACUUUUACUAUCU